ACCUGAACUUUUCUCCUCACAUCCAAAGGAAGCUCCCGAAGAUGGUGGAUGGGUUAUUAGCCAGAACAGAAAAAGUCAUGCUAAGGCCAACUUGAUGAGAAAAAAAAGGAAAUUUCUAAGGAUAAGUAAAUAAAGUAUAGUCUUGUCAA